rnacentral:rRNA from 1 species
CCUACGGGUGGCAGCAGUGGGGAAUAUUGCACAAUGGGGGAAACCCUGAUGCAGCGACGCCGCGUGAGUGAAGACGUAAUUCGUUAUGUAAAGCUCUAUCAGCAGGGAAGAAAAUGACGGUACCUGAGUAAGAAGCCCCGUCUAACUACGUACCAGCAACCGCGGCAAUACGUAGGGGGCAAGCGUUAUCCGGAUUUACCGGGCGUAAAGGGAGCGUAGACGGGAGUGCAAGUCUGGAGUGAAAGGCGGGGGUUCAACCCCCGGAGUGCUCUGGAAACUGUACGGCUUGAGUGCAGGAGAGGUAUGUGGAAUUCGUGGUGUAGCGGUGAAAUGCGUAGAUAUUAGGAAGAACACCAGUGGCGAAGGCGGCUUACUGGACUGUAACUGACGUUGAGGCUCGAAAGCGUGGGGAGCAAACAGGAUUAGAUACCCGGGUAGUC